rnacentral:misc_RNA from 1 species
GAUGAAGAACGUAGUGAAAUGCGAUACUUGGUGUGAAUUGCAGAAUCCCGUGAACCAUCGAGUCUUUGAACGCAAGUUGCGCCCGAAGCCACUAGGCCGAGGGCACGCCUGCCUGGGCGUCACACGCCGUUGCCCCCCCAUCUACUCCUUCGGGAUUGCGGGGGGGCGGAUGAUGGCCUCCCGUGCGCCUAGCCGCGCGGUUGGCAUAAAUACCAAGUCCUCGGCGACGCACGCCACGACAAUCGGUGGUUGCGAAACCUCGGUUGCCCGUCGUGUGCGUUCGUCGCGCAUCGAGGGCUCGAAAAAAUGCUCGGCUCCGGCUGGGCUUUCAACGCGACCCCAGGUCAGGCGGGGUUACCCGCUGAAUUUAAGCAUAUCAAUAGCGGAGGA